CCUACGGGGGACAGCAGUAGGGAAUCUUUCACAAUGGGCGAAAGCCUGAUGGAGCAACGCCGCGUGCAAGAUGAAGGCCUUCGGGUUGUAAACUGCUUUUAUAAGCGAGAAAUAUGAUGGUAACUUAUGAAUAAGGAUCGGCUAACUACGUGCCAGUAGCCGCGGUCAUACGUAGGAUCCGAGCAUUAUCCGGAGUGACUGGGUGUAAAGAGUUGCGUAGGGGGCAUAAUAAGUAGCUAGUGAAAUCUGGUGGCUCAACCAUUCAGACUAUUAGCUAAACUGUUAAGCUCGAGACCGUUAGGGGUAACAGGAAUGUCUAGUGUAGGAGUGAAAUCCGUAGAUAUUAGAAGGAACACCAAUAGCGUAGGCAGGUUGCUGGGACGGUUCUGACACUAAGGCACGAAAGCGUAGGGAGCAAACGGGAUUAGAUACCCUUGUAGUC
rnacentral:rRNA from 1 species